CCUACGGGAGGCAGCAGUAGGGAAUCUUCCGCAAUGGACGAAAGUCUGACGGAGCAACGCCGCGUGAACGAUGAAGGCCUUCGGGUCGUAAAGUUCUGUUGUUAGGGAAGAACAAGUGCUAGUUGAAUAAGCUGGCACCUUGACGGUACCUAACCAGAAAGCCACGGCUAACUACGUGCCAGCAGCCGCGGUAAUACGUAGGUGGCAAGCGUUGUCCGGAAUUAUUGGGCGUAAAGCGCGCGCAGGCGGUUUCUUAAGUCUGAUGUGAAAGCCCCCGGCUCAACCGGGGAGGGUCAUUGGAAACUGGGAAACUUGAGUGCAGAAGAGGAAAGUGGAAUUCCAAGUGUAGCGGUGAAAUGCGUAGAGAUUUGGAGGAACACCAGUGGCGAAGGCGACUUUCUGGUCUGUAACUGACGCUGAGGCGCGAAAGCGUGGGGAGCAAACAGGAUUAGAUACCCUGGUAGUCCACGCUGUAAACGAUGAGUGCUAAGUGUUAGAGGGUUUCCGCCCUUUAGUGCUGAAGUUACGCAUUAAGCACUCCGCCUGGGGAGUACGGUCGCAAGCUGAAACUCAAAGGAUUGACGGNUUGNGNGNGCGAGCGACACGAGGAGAGG
rnacentral:rRNA from 1 species